UACAGAGGUGGCAAGCGUUGUUCGGAAUUACUGGGCGUAAAGGGCGCGUAGGCGGCCUUCUUAGUCGGACGUGAAAUCCCCAGGCUCAACUUGGGAACUGCGUCCGAUACUGGAUGGCUUGAGUGCGGGAGAGGGAUGUGGAAUUCCAGGUGUAGCGGUGAAAUGCGUAGAUAUCGGGAGGAACACCUGAGGCGAAGGCGGGCUACUGGGCUGAUACUGACGCUGAGGCGCGAAAGCUAGGGGAGCAAACGGG
rnacentral:rRNA from 1 species